GCUUUUCAAAGUAAAUAAAAAAUAAACAAAUAAAUCAAUCAAUCAUAGAAAGAAUAGCUUUUCUUUCUCUACCUUACUUUGUUUUUAGACAUAAACAAUACUUCCAGGAGAUGAGUAACAUAGUGGAUAAUGAAGAAGAAUACGAAUAUGAAAAUAAAGAGGAUGUAUAUGACAAUGGAGAGGACCAUUAUGAUGAAGAAGAUGAUGUAGGGGUCGUAGGGGAAUAUAGAGAGGAUACAGACAUGGAGCAGUCCUCUACCCGAGAAGACUCUGAUGAGGGUGAAGAGGAGGAUGAAACCAACACAAAGAUCCCAUUACCAAAUAACGCUUGAGAAAGUUAUUAUGCCCACAUACAAGCCAUAAGUAGCUGUACAUGAGAUUCUUGUACUGAAGUUUCUGGAAGACAUGGCAUGCCUAUCUGGUCAUUAAAAAAAAAAAGAAAACUACCGAGUGAAAUUAUUAAACUUUGCAGCUAUUCUAUUGUUCUGCCAUUGCUAUACAGGUCUAUACAGGUCGCUUAGAAAGAUUUUAGACCAGAAAAGUUUAACGUAGACAAUGAAAAAAAAAUCUCACUAAACAACUAGCCAUCUAUGUUACAAAAGGCUCAAGAUCAGGGAAACAUGUCUAGCAGUAGUUUGUGGAUCAAUCAACUUCCAUUGUUGUACAUUCGAUAAUACGUUUUCUCUGAAUAAAAUCAUUUCCGUCAAGUGUACUGUGUGUAUGUGGGGUU
ensembl:lncRNA